rnacentral:rRNA from 1 species
GCUGCAACUGUUUAUUAAAAACACAGCACUGUGCAAAAUCGUAAGAUGACGUAUACGGUGUGACGCCUGCCCGGUGCCGGAAGGUUAAUUGAUGGGGUUAGACUUCGGUCGAAGCUCUUGAUCGAAGCCCCGGUAAACGGCGGCCGUAACUAUAACGGUCCUAAGGUAGCGAAAUUCCUUGUCGGGUAAGUUCCGACCUGCACGAAUGGCGUAAUGAUGGCCACGCUGUCUCCACCCGAGACUCAGUGAAAUUGAAAUCGCUGUGAAGAUGCAGUGUACCCGCGGCUAGACGGAAAGACCCCGUGAACCUUUACUACAGCUUGGCACUGAACAUUGACCCUACAUGUGUAGGAUAGGUGGGAGGCUUUGAAGCAGGUACGCCAGUAUCUGUGGAGCCGUCCUUGAAAUACCACCCUUGUAGUGUUGAUGUUCUAACGUCGACCCCUAAUCGGGGUUGCGGACAGUGCCUGGUGGGUAGUUUGACUGGGGCGGUCUCCUCCCAAAGAGUAACGGAGGAGCACGAAGGUGGGCUAAUCACGGUUGGACAUCGUGAGGUUAGUGCAAUGGCAUAAGCCCGCUUGACUGCGAGAAUGACAAUUCGAGCAGGUGCGAAAGCAGGUCAUAGUGAUCCGGUGGUUCUGAAUGGAAGGGCCAUCGCUCAACGGAUAAAAGGUACUCCGGGGAUAACAGGCUGAUACCGCCCAAGAGUUCAUAUCGACGGCGGUGUUUGGCACCUCGAUGUCGGCUCAUCACAUCCUGGGGCUGAAGUCGGUCCCAAGGGUAUGGCUGUUCGCCAUUUAAAGUGGUACGCGAGCUGGGUUUAGAACGUCGUGAGACAGUUCGGUCCCUAUCUGCCGUGGGCGUUGGAAGAUUGAAGGGGGCUGCUCCUAGUACGAGAGGACCGGAGUGGACGAACCUCUGGUGUUCGGGUUGUGUCGCCAGACGCAUUGCCCGGUAGCUAAGUUCGGAAUCGAUAACCGCUGAAAGCAUCUAAGCGGGAAGCGAGCCCUGAGAUGAGUCUUCCCUGAUACUUUAAGUAUCCUAAAGGGUUGUCGGAGACUACGACGUUGAUAGGUCAGGUGUGUAAGUGCUGUGAGGCAUUGAGCUAACUGAUACUAAUUGCCCGUGAGGCUUAACCAU